GACGAACGCUGGCGGCGGGCUUAACACAUGCAAGUCGAACGGAAAGGCCCGGGUUUGGUGGGGGGCUCGAUUAGCGAACGGGUGAUAAACACUUGUGUAACCUGCCCUUGACUUUGGGAUAACUUUAGGAAACUGGGGCUAAGACCGGAUGAGUGCUCCGGCUGCGAGUGGGGGGCGGGGAAGUUGCGGCUGUUGGGGAUGGACUCGUGGCUUAGCAGCUUGGUGUUGGGGUAGUGGAUGACCAAGCCGCUGACGGGUGGCCGGGCUGAGAGGGUAACCGGCCAAAUCGGGACUGGGAUACGGCCCAGCCUCCUACGGGAGGCAGCGGUGGAGAAUGGUGCACAAUGGGAGGAAGCCUGAUGCAGUCCCGCCGCGUGGGGGAUGACGGCAUUCGGGUUGUAAACCGCUUUCGCCUGUGACGAAGAGUGAGUGACGGUAAUGGGUAAAGAAGCCCCGGCUAACUACGUG
rnacentral:rRNA from 1 species